AUUUCCACAUAUUGCAUGAAUGUUUUGACACAUAUAAGAACGAGUAAAUUGUAUGUAUGUUGACAAGCAACAGCAUAUUGUACUGAUCUAUUGCGUCGUUUCUUAAGAACGAAGCAACGACAUAUUAUAUUGAUAUAUUGCGUUAAUUUUUUGACAAGCAACAACAUAAAUUAUAUUUAUAUAUUGCGUCUGUCUUAAGGACGAGGCAACAACAUAUUAUAUUGAUAUAUUGCGUCGUUUCUUAAAAACGAAGCAACGACAUAUUAUAUUGAUAUAUGGCGUGAACUUUUUGACAAGCAACAACAAAUAUUAUAUUGAUAUAUUGCGUCGUUAAUUAAGAACGAGACAACAACAUAUUAUUUUAUAUAUCGCGUCGUUUCUUAAGAACGAAGCAACGACAUAUUAUAUUGAUAUAUUGCGUCAUUUGCGUGAAUUUUUUGACAUAUCAAGAACGAGUAUUUAAAUUGUAUGUAUAUGGAGCUGUGUAUGGAGCUGCUCGAAACAUGAAACGGUGUAGUGUGCUCGCUCAGACGGAUC
rnacentral:lncRNA from 1 species